rnacentral:sRNA from 1 species
GCUGGGCAUGGUGGCACAUGCCUGUAGUCCUAGCUACUAGGUAGGCUGAGGCAGGAGGACUGCUUAAGCCCAGGAGUUUGAGGCCAGCCUGGGUAAUAAGCAAGACCUCAU